rnacentral:rRNA from 1 species
CGACCGAGUCAGAGAGG